GCAAACACAAAUAAAAUGUCAACUUAUUUGGUUUGCCAAAUGAACAAAGGAUCUUGAACACAAUCUUUGGACUAGGGAGCUCGAGGAUUCAAGUCGCACGGGUGCUCAAACCCAGUUGGGGUGCUCGGGAGACAACUAAGUUAGGGAGCUUGGGAGACGGUCGAGUCGGGGAACUAAGGAGAUAGCCAAGUCAAAUACUCGUAGUCGAGCUGACAAAUAACUCAGAAGGCCGAGUUGAAGCACUUGUGUGGACGAGCUAUUGAAAAACUUAGGUGGUUAAGCUGAUUAACGACUCAAGAGACCGAGCAGCUGAACAACUCGAAAGACCAAGUUGCUGAACAAAUGGAGUCGCCGAGUUGGGUAGUUAGGAGACCAAGCUGUUGAACGACUAGGGAGCCCAAGUCAGGUAGUUGAAAGGUCGAGUGGCUAAAGGACUUGAGAGCCUAGUCUCUCUACUAAGCACAAUUGAGGCUUGUGAUAAUAUAAUUUUCUUAAAAUAGAUCUAUCCUCUCUCUGGUGGUACUUAGAGGUUUAAAUACAUGUCCUCAUAAUACAAUAGUUAAACCACAUUAGCAACCAAGUACUAAUUAUUUGUGGCGACCUAGAGGUACUUGAUGAUGGAUUGUGGAUGAUUGGAUUACUACUGCCCAAGAAAGAGCCUCUAUUUAUAAAUUCAAAAUCCUAACCGCCAUUAAUCCUACUUAAUGGCCAUUAUUUGACCAUUAACUUUCUCUGUUGGCUUACUCAAAAGGCCAGCAACUUAUUUUAGGUCAUAACUGAUAUGCGCAUUUCAUAUAAAGUUUUUAUCAUAGUUUGGCGCACAUCUUGUCUCAUUUUAUAUGUAUAUAUUUUAUCUUUCAUCUCUUUGUAUUUUAUUUUCGUAUUUUCCUAAUUUGGAGAACUACUCAUUUAUUUCUUUUGAUAGGGCAUAAAAAGGAGCAAAGCGGAGCUUAAAAACCAACUUUCGAGGGCAUCCCAGCUACCACGCCGUGGCCAAUUUGGAGGGGUCAUGCCCCAAUUGUUUAUCACAGACCCUUUCAUGGGAGGUUGUGCUAGCCAACACGGCCGUGUUCGAUUUCCAGGAGUUUUCUAGAAGCCACCACGAACGACCAUGCUAGCCAUCAUGGAUGGUUGUGCCAACCGGUAUGGCCAUGUCGCCACUUGACGGAGGUCAUGGCACCUGACACGGGCAGCCGUACCAGCCGCCACGGGCCCGUGUUAGGCGCUUGGAAAAAUAGUAUAAAAGCUGAUUUUGAGGAGGAUUUUGAGGAGGAAGGGGAUCUAGAUUGGGAGCCACCCAAGGGCCCCUAGAAGACUUCGAAGGAUGAUCACAAGGGGAUUUGAUGCCUUCGCACAUAGAAUUUUGGAUCGGGGAGCAUCCGAAGACGAUAUCAAGCAUCAAGUCUAAGCUUUCUUCUCUUUUUUCUAAAUUUAGUCUUGAUUGUAACUGGUUGAACGAUGAUCUCUGUUUGUACCUUCAUUCCUAUGGAGUGGACUCUUGAUUCUAGGAUUAAGGAUUAGUCCUAUGAUAUGUAGACACUUUCUAUUGAAUCUAUUAAGUUUAAUUGUUUCUUAUUCAAUGAUAUUUGAUGAACCAAAAGGAGAACCCAAUCCUUCAACCCGUAAAACCUCAAGGUUUGGAGAGUCGACUACAAAAGGAGAUCGGUAUGUCACGAGGAGCAAUAGGCUGUUAUAAAUUUUAAUAGAUUGAUUUUAAUUCAUCAUCACACAAUAAGGGAGGGCAACUCGGGGGUUGUGGGAUCACAUGACAGGAGUCUCUUUAGGAAAGCAAUCCCUCAGCUCUGUUGCUCUGACAGUAGACAAUAAAUUGGAAUGGAUACAUCGGUGUAGUUCCAAAUGUCCACAUCGAAUACCCUAGGAUAGUUUACCUACAUAAACAACCAUUGAGGAUAGGAAACCAAAUGUACAUUAAGUGUUUACAAUCAUUGCGGUGAAACCGAAAUCCUAAAAUUGCUUUUCCCUAUCGAAUACUCUCAGAUCACUCUUCUUCCCUUCCCUCUCUUCUCCUUCAAAUCUCUUUCCUUACUAUAUUCUCUACUCUUCUUUCUAAGAUCACUAGUUCUUCAACAACCUCUCUCUCUCGCGAUUAGUCUAGACAAUUGCAUUUGUUUAAUAAACUAGUACUUAGCCACCAAAUAUUUUUUUAUUAUUUGAUGACAUUCAGGGGACUUGUGGAUGUCACAUCAGUGACUAUUCAUGUGUACGCUACAAGUUUUGAGGCAGAAGGAAAAUAAAUCGAGUGGCAAAAUACAGGUCACUCUAAUAAAUUUGGUUUGUACUGAGAUUACUAGUGAUGCAUCCUUGCUUAGAUGCAAGGUCAAGGGAUAGAACAUGUAAUUGACCCUAAAUAGUGGACACAAAUGCAAUUGGAUGGUGUGAUGGAUUAGGGAAAGGGUUGUAUUAUAAUAAGUAUAGACAUUUAAAUGUUGAAGUAUUAUCUUGUGCUAAUUAUGUUCGGUUUAUUACUGACGGAGGUUGACUUUAAGAUUCUGCACUUGUGUUGGAAGCAACUUAGUAACACUAAGAUGAAAGAGCCAUAAAAGUAAAAUAUAGUUUUAUGACACAGCAUAUGAGAAAAUGUGGGCCAAGUGUUUUACCAGAUUUCAAACAACUAAACCCUGUAAUGAUUUGAUUGCAUUGCAACUAUGACAAGAAAUCUAGUGUUUCAUGAAUGCACUAAUCAUAUUGAAGUUUACUACCACCUUAUCCAAGAUUCUAUUACCUUCAAAAGAUUGGCAUAGCAUAUACAUGUUUUGAGGUACAUAUACGCUCCAACCUGAGGAGAAUGUUAAAAACAAUGAAUUUAGUUCCAAAUUGCUAGUUACUAAUAAAUUGUUAAACUUGGGAUUUUAUGUGCUAUAAUCUCAUUGAUAAUCAAUACAACAUAAUAGUUUGAAUUGCUAGUUAGUAAUUUAUACAUUCAGUUUAAUUAUUCAUGAUUGUCACCUCCUUCAUUAUCCUGAAGUCAACUUCAUGUUUGAGGAGCACUGAAUAAGAAAAAUGUGGAACUGCAUUUUGAUUUUUGUGAAUGUAAAGAAUGUUUUAACAUCAUGUCUUUAAUAUGACCAUCAAUUCUUGAUUUCAAAUGUAUUUUGAUUUUGUGAUGGUCUUUCAGAUGCAUUCUGGAAUCAAAUAACUUUGAGUUAUAUUGCAUUUAUAUUGCUUCUGAUGCUCUUGCCACUUUUAAGGAUUUGCUUACAAAAAAAAAUGAAACAACAGUCUCUCUGUUUCUGAUUUCCUAUUACGAAUAGGGUAAUUGCUAAGUUCUCCAUAUGCUACUCUUGUCAGUUAUAUUUCCUCUUAAUCCAGAAUAGAAGGAUAGUUUUCUGGAGGACCGAUCUGCUUGUUGCUUAACUUGUAUCAGAUGUGCUCAUCUCAUCGAAGUGCGUUGUUGCAGUUCUUCGAGCUUUCUGAGAAACUAUUGGCCUUUCCAAAAUAUGUAACAAGAAGACAAUCCUUAAAGGGUUGUUACUUUACUGAUACGCUUAUCUAGAUUGAAUGUUUGCUCCUUUUA